CACAAAACGUGAUAUUAGGGCUACACUGUAUAUUUAAAUCAACUAAAAUAUUUGUAAUAUUUUACAGAUAUUUGCCAUCGUUUUCACAAUUCUUGUAUGUUAUCGCAUUUCCCCGUUUUGUUUUGGAUUUUUUCAUUGAUUCUGGCACAUUUGCCGGAAGUUUUUUGUUUUUUACAGUGUACCUCCCCUCUCCUCUGUCCUCACCCUCCUUCGCUCCGGCUUCAUGUCUCUCUUCCUGCCUCCCUCAUUUUCUUUGUUGUCCUCCUUGUCAACCUUUUCACUCCAAUUUCCCAUCUCUGCUGCGCUCCUUCACAUCUCCAAUUUCCCUCUCGUCUUUUCCCCUCACAUGCCACCCUCCCUCCUCUUCUAUUCCACUUUUAGUUCAUCUCUGUUGUCUUUCCUCCUGUUCCCCCACACAGAUCACUCAUCUCUGUCACACUGAUUUCUUGUAUAUGUGAGUGUUUCUGCUGUUGGGAGAUCAUCUGGAAACUCAAAGCCUGCCUCGACUCAGUCGCAGUGACUGUAACCCGCCCAAAACCCUCUAAAGCAGCCAAUGAGGAGACGGAAAACCACUUCCGUAUUUCAAAAGACAUGUGGUUUAAAGAGGCAUUGGACACACACAGAGAGGAAAACAGACAGAGAUUGAGACAAAGGGUGCUUUCCAAAACUCACACUACCAUACUAGUAUAAUGUACAACAGGAAAAAGAUUCACUAGAGUGAAAAAUGCAGUCUAUCCUACUACAUCCGUUUGUAUUUUGCAGCAUGCAAGACACAAUGGUUUUCUGCACAGUUACCUUACAGUGUAUUGUGCAAAUAUACAACAAGCUUGAGCAACAGAGAGCACACUAAUGGGCGACAGCUUAUUUUGCAUUACAGACUGCAAUGGUACGUACUAUGUGAGGGAAGCUGUGGUAAGUACUUAGAGUAAAAAAACAAAGUGUGAUUUGAAAUAAAGCCAAAAAAGAGAAAUUCUCAAACUAUACAAAGAGUUUUACUGCAAAAUAGCUGUUGCCAUAAAUGAAUGAAUAUUGGCAUGGAUGAAUUAUGAGACGAGCUCGUAAGCAAGGCCCCCAAAGACAGGAUACCCAAAAUGAAUGUAGGAGCAUUUGUGGUCAUUUUAAGUUGCAGGAGUUACAGGUGUGUGUGCUGACUGCCCAUGACACUCCAUAGAAUGAGUAGACCUCCCCGCUGCCCAGCUGCUACCUGUGGCAGUUGUACUGAUGAACUCUGCUGCAUCAAGUUGUGAAAAAUGCAGUUGUCUGACUUUCGCUAGUUAACUGAAGCCCAUGCUAGUGCGAAGCUAGGCUUUUCAGACGCUAACACGGAGCUGAGUGUCUUUCGUGAGCAGCAGGACUCUGAUUACAAGCUUCCUACCACAUUCAAACCAAAGUGAUGAAGUGUAUCAGCUACACUCUGCUCUGAACUGAAAUGCAUUAUGGUGGUGGCAGUGACUGGGGUGGCUGACAGAUUUCCUCUACUGAUAGCGUUGAUGCAACAGUAUUUGUGGACAUCUGUUCCAACUGAUGUUAAAUACAAUGAACAAGUCGCUCCAUCAUGUAGAUCAGCAAUGAGAAUUAUUCUGGUAUCAAACCACUGUGAAGACAUUAAUAACGUUACAGGUUAUUUACCGUGGAAGAUAGGCAAUUACACCAUUUAUCAGAGCUAGAAACUCUAAAAACAGGAAGAAUCAUCAGAUUUUCAAAUUUCUGGUGAUUUCAUCUUGAGCUACUAUACUGAUGUGCCCUUCUGCUGGGAGAUGUAGCCAAGCCUAAAUGUGGGACAUUUCUAACCCUGAAAAAUUGGAUAAAAACAAACUAUUCGCUCAAAUCAUAUUCUGGAAAAAAAAAAUCUGUGCUUCUCAGCGCAACUGAAAACUAUUAGUGUCUCAGCUGUGUGUAACAGUCAUGUGGCAAAAAUUCAGGGACUUUUCAGCAGAAAUGGGCUGAACUGCAGGCUGUGUUUACACACAGCACAGAGAAGACAAGCAUGAAAACAAAUUAAAAAAGUAAGUCGUAAAAAUAUGUAUAGUGUGCAGAGUCCCCAUUGUUCUUUCCAGUGCUGUUAACACUUGUGGGCACUUGGAAGAAUGCUGGACAUGUUGAUUCCAAGUCCUUUUUUUUCAAUCUUUGUAGAAUAAAUAAUCAAAGAAAUUAAACUUUCAUUUCAUGUGGGGGUUUAGAGGGUUAAAUGUAGAGUGUUUAAUUCUAGAAAAAGUUGUUGGAAAUGUAGUUAGUUAGCAUCCUUACAUAGAUAGCAUGUGUGCAUGAGGACGAACAUGCAUACGCUAGAGCAGCGUUGUGUGGAUCGGUUCAUGAACACCAGAUUAUUUCUUAGUGCACAGAGAACAGGCUAGUAGACCGUGAGUAGACAUUCACUUAAUCUGACGAACCGUCAGUGAGGAAAAAUGUGACAGAAGCAGAAAAAUGCCCAGACACUGCUUGGCAAUCAGGGGGUUAAUGUAUCCCCCCCCGCCAAUGUUCAAACAAAAUCUACAGCUUGCGGUAUUACAUAAAUUCUAUUAGCACGUAGCUAGCAAAUUAGCUCAAGUGAAGGCAAGAGAAUCUUUGACCUUGGAAUCUGUUAGGAGUCACCGACAUAAUACACAAACGAGACACUAAUUAUCUGUGUGCACACAAGACAACAGAGAUCAACACUGUGAUUGCAGGGAUGUCUGCGAACGUGCCCGCUCACCCACAUGCAUGGCUCGCUAUUGUCCCCUCAGACAAAGAUGGGAGUGCAUCCCUGUGCAAGUGCCCCUGGGGGAGACCUGAUUCUGCACCCACCCCUUAACCUCCACAUGAAUGCACACACACAGACAGGGCGAUAUUAACCCACCCCCCUGCUUGAUUUGGAAGAGUUACAAACAGCCUAGCAGACAGAAGCGGGGGGGUGGGGCGAAGAGGGGUCCCUCUAUGGUAACAAGGGCAUCAUAAGCCAAUUACGAGUGCCGCCUGAGUGACUGACGGACACGGUGGAGAGAAGGUGUGUGUGUGUGUGUGUGUGUGUGUGUAUCUAAUUGCAUUCGUCCUCUCUUGCAGCUAAAGCUUUGGGCUAAAGGGCUCCAAUAUGUGCACAUAAACAGGAAAACACACACACACACACACACACACACACACACACACACACACACAGCAGGGCAAACAUCCACACGAUCCCCUCCCUUGAGGUCCACCUCCUACACGCGAAGGCAUUCAAAAGAUCUCUUUGUCUCUCUAUCGUGCCAGAGAAAUAGUUGAAAAAGAACAGAGAAAGGAGAGGAGGAAAAGAGCAGCAGCAGAAAAAAAAAAAGCAAGGAAAGCAAAGGAGGAGAAACCUGAAGGAGGUGGAGGGAAAACAUGGAACAGGAGACGGAGGGGGAGCACAGAGGAAGAAGAAGAGUUGGGCGAAAAGAGAUGGAGGCUGCGACGAGAGACAGCCGGGCUCCAGCACACUGCUCUGAACUCGUUUGAUCCAGUUCGUCUCGCCAGGCGUUCCUCGAGAUGCAUUCCUGUGGCUGGCUGGGCUCAGAGCGAGGAAGAGGGAGAUAGUGAGACAGAGAGAGACAGAGAGAGAGAGAGACAGAGAGAGAGAGAGAGAGAGAGGGUGAGACUGGCUCGGAUUGGGAAACAGAAGCAGGGAGAAACUUGAAGUUAUCCAGGGUCAGGUCGCUGUGGCAGCAGGAUAAGCAGGGCUUUCCCGACAUCCCUCACCCCAACAAUGUUUUCCAGUUCCUCCCAAGAGAUCCUGAGGUAUUCCCAGGCCAGUUUCCUUUAGUGAGUUCUGGGUCUACCCCAGGAUCUCCUGCCAGCUUCCAAUGGAAGACGUCCAGAUCCUAAUCAGAUGCCCAAACCACCCAAGCUGGAGCAACAACUUUCCUUGAGCUUCCCCUGGAUGUCCAAGCUCCACAUUUCUAUCUCUGAAGCUAAACCCAGCAACCCUAUGGAAAGAAAUUAAUUUCAUAUUUUUUUCCUAGAUAAUGUACAUUUCAAGUAUUGUACAUCAGCUGUAGUUCCUGGUUACGACACCAGAAUCUUACUGUUUAAUGGGAUGGAAGACUGGAGUUUGUAUGCUGUAUUUAAAACUUCAGUCACCCAAGGAGGCGGUCACUUGGAAUACAAGCAAUUCUCUGUUGGCAAGCAGAGAGCAUGAUGGGAGUUUAGCUAGCGACAGGCCACCAUGACACAGACUUCUGUGGCAGAUAAUGCCUUCUGGCUUAAGUGUUUAAGAUGAUCUUGGAGCUACUGAGAUAGCAUUCCUACAGCUGACGGACUAUUGUAACCAAGCUACUUUGAGGUAAAUGUCAAGUGUGGAGCAAACGAAAUAAUGUCCACUUAACCUUAUUUAUUUUUAAAUGAUAAUUAUCAUAAACACUCUCUCAUCUGAUAUGAUGAUUAUAAAGCUUCAUUUGAUUUUGAUUUAAUUUGAUAAUAAUCCUACAAAUAAUCGAGUAAUACAAUUAUUUACAAUUCGGACUCCUAAAUGUAAAUAAUUUAGGAAUCCGAAUUCCUAAAUGAUUGCAAAUUACCACCAAUCAACUUUGUUUCUUGGUUUGUUAAACUUGCAAAUUAAACUGUUACACCCCUGUCAAACCAAGAAACCUUUGUAAGGCGACUAGAGGACCAAUUAUCAAUCUGUUGCUUUAAUCAAAUACAGUAACUGUGAAUGGUUUGUCAAUAUAUUGUUGAAAAUAAUUAGUUUAUCUUCACUGAAAUUUUUAACGAUUAUUCAAUUAUUAAUUGUUUACAUUGCAGAUCAUCAGUUGGGAAAUUUGUUUAAAAUAUGUAUCCUUACAUGGAUAAAUUGGAAUUCUGAUUAAAAUUUGUAUACCUACUGCUGACCCUACACCAACCUGCCUCCCCAUCUCAGGCUCCAUUUUUCAUCAAGAUCCCAAGAUACUUUAACUCCUUCACUUGGGGCAGCAACUAUUUUCCUUUUCUAAAAUCUAAGUGUUGGUUGGAUACAAAGAUUUUGGUCCAUCUUGAGGUCAGACCAUAUACUGUUACUGCUGUCUGUUCACAUGUGCUCACAUCACCUGCACCGACAGUGAAGUAUUUUACAUCUUAAAACAGUAACAAUGUGCUGUUUUCCAAACCAGAAAUACUCAGAUCCCUUGUGAAAAACAUUCCAAACUUCCAUGAUUCCUUCAUCUCUACUCACGUUAAAAACUUGGAUCUUACUGCUGUACUUCUGGCCAGGCUUAAUUCCGACGGGGCAAGAAACGUGAGCGGUCAUGUUGUAAACAAGCUAGCAGGUGGGGAAAACUGAAUGGCGCGUCCAAAAUGCAAAGGAGCAUGAAGAUGUGAGGCGAGGUGAGGUGAGGUGAGGUGAGGCGAGUGGAAGCUUUGAUCAGACAGUCAGAGCUGCAGCUGUCUCAGAGAACUACUUUAUAUAGUCACACCUCAUGUAGUGAAGAUGAAGCAAAUACACGAUCAAGUGUGGUUGCUGCUGAUGCAAUAACCCUUGCACACAUGUAGGUGUCUGUAGUUAAUGACUGCACAAGAACAACAAGUGAUUCAAUUAGCAGUCUCAUUGCUAAAAGGCCAGGAAGCUGCUAACCCUGUAAGCAUAUAGCACUUAAACAUGUCAGUCUAUUCAAGUGUUGGAGUCGAAUAAGUAUUCAGUAGGUUAGAGAGCUAGUGUUUUCUCCUUAUACUGCAUAAAAGUUCAUAAAUGUUGGUAACAAUGUAAUUAACGCACUGUGUACAUAAACAUGACCUAUCGACAGAUAAAAGGUCAUGUUUAUUGUGAAUAUAAAGAAAGGUUUCUAAGGCAGCAAUUUCAUUUAACCACAAAUGCAACAGGGUUCUGUUUAUUGAGCACAGAUAACCUGACAAUUAUAUAAUAGGUCUUGUAUUGCAUUUCAGCCUUACAUUUGUGUAGUUUAACAGUAACAUAAACUACUGAAAUUCUGGUAGCACUCACUACCUAAUGGGAAAUAAUGUGAUAUCUGCCCUCAGAUAACCCUUACCUCUGUGAACCCCAGGCAGUUUUUGACAGCUUUUUGCUCCUGUAACAUUUUUUUUCUCACGGUGGCCUCAUUUUUAACUGCAACAUAAAGUCCAACACCUUUAAGGAAACAGCAUAUCCACAGUCAGAAGGAAAGACAACUCAGAAAUGUUUUCUGUGUAGCAUGACAGUCUUAAAUCAU